rnacentral:tRNA from 1 species
UGUAAAAUAGUGUAAGAAAAGCACAGUAGUUUUUGAUUCUACAAGAAUUAGUUUAAUUCUAAAUUUUACAA